rnacentral:rRNA from 1 species
UGUCUGAACCUUCGGGGAACGAUAACGGCGUCGAGCGGCGGACGGGUGAGUAAUGCCUGGGAAAUUGCCCUGAUGUGGGGGAUAACUAUUGGAAACGAUAGCUAAUACCGCAUAACGUCUACGGACCAAAGAGGGGGACCUUCGGGCCUCUCGCUUCAGGAUAUGCCCAGGUGGGAUUAGCUAGUUGGUGAGGUAAUGGCUCACCAAGGCGACGAUCCCUAGCUGGUCUGAGAGGAUGAUCAGCCACACUGGAACUGAGACACGGUCCAGACUCCUACGGGAGGCAGCAGUGGGGAAUAUUGCACAAUGGGCGCAAGCCUGAUGCAGCCAUGCCGCGUGUAUGAAGAAGGCCUUCGGGUUGUAAAGUACUUUCAGUCGUGAGGAAGGCAAUACAGUUAAUAGCUGUGUUGUUUGACGUUAGCGACAGAAGAAGCACCGGCUAACUCCGUGCCAGCAGCCGCGG